rnacentral:rRNA from 1 species
UACAGAGGUCCCAAGCGUUGUUCGGAUUCACUGGGCGUAAAGGGUGCGUAGGUGGUCAGGUAAGUUUGGUGUGAAAGCUCGGAGCUUAACUCCGAAAAGUCAUUGAAUACUAUCUGGCUGGAGGGUCGGAGGGGAGACUGGAAUUCUCGGUGUAGCAGUGAAAUGCGUAGAUAUCGAGAGGAACACCAGUGGCGAAGGCGAGUCUCUGGACGACUCCUGACACUGAGGCACGAAAGCUAGGGGAGCAAACAGG